rnacentral:lncRNA from 13 species
UCUGACGGGAGGGGAGGGAGACAGGAUUUAACUAUCGACGCUUCAUUUCUGAGGAUGAUGUGUAUUGUUGUAGAGGACAGUAUCUGGGGUGCUGAAACACCGUCUUUAGUGGAACAGAUGAGACCUGACGCUGACUUGCAGAGAGAGGGAAGGUGUUCACAUUGUGUUGAAUCAGCAGCUGGAUUCCAUGUCUGUCUGCUACAGUCUGUUAACAUGUCUAUAGUUCUGAAUCCCCUGUCUGUCUGUUAACAUGUCUAU